rnacentral:tRNA from 1 species
GCCUGGCUGGCUCAAAGGGUAGAGCAUGUGACUCUUGAUCUUGGGGUCAUGAUGUUCAAGCCCCAUGUCGGGUG